AUUGAACGCUGGCGGCAGGCCUCACACAUGCAAGUCGAACGAGUGGCGGACGGGUGAGUAAUGUCUGGGAAACUGCCCGAUGGAGGGGGAUAACUACUGGAAACGGUAGCUAAUACCGCAUACCAUCGGAUGUGCCCGGAUGGGAUUGGCUAGUGGGUGGGGUAACGGCUCACCUAGGCGACGAUCCCUAGCUGGCCUGAGAGGAUGACCCGCCCCACUGGAACUGAUACACUGUCCAGACUCCGACGGGAGGCAUGAGUGGGGAAUAUUGCACAAUGGUCGCAAGCCUGAUGCAGCCAUGCCGCGUGUAUGAAGAAGGCCUUCGGGUUGUAAAGGCCUUCCGGCGGGGAGGCGUUACCCGCAGAAGAAGCACCGGCUAACUCCUUGCCAGCCGCCGCGGUAAUAC
rnacentral:rRNA from 1 species